GGAAGAGUGAGAAUGUGGAUGUUAACAAUGAGAUCAAAUCUGUAAGACUUAGAGAUUCCGUGAGCCAUAAGAGGGAAUGUGUGGGCUGAAGGCAGCAGUAGGGCGAUGGAAAGCCUGGCCAAGGGCUUCUAGAACUUGAAGCUCACCAUUUUUGGAUGACAUUCUGUGAACGAAGUGUUCUCUAUGAGAUACUAAGAGCAAUAUAGGGUAAUCACUGGUGACAGAAACAUCUGCUCAUGCAGGUUCAUGUCAAAGUCCAGGGUUGAAGGAGAACCCCUCAUCCCAGAUGCUUUUCCUUGGAAUCCAGCUGCCAUGUUGUGAGAAAGCCCAGGGCACCGCAGAGACCACAUGUGGGUGUUCCAGCCAACAGCCCCAGCUAGGUCCCCAUGGAGAGCCCACACCAACCACCAGAUAUGAGGGUUCAGACUCCAGCCCACAGUCUUCAAGUCUUCCAGCUGCAGUCCCAGACAUCAUGAAACCAUUCUGCUGUGACCUGUCAGAAUUUCUGACCCCAGAAACUGUUGGAGAUAAUAAAUAAUUACUGUUGUUUUAAU
rnacentral:lncRNA from 1 species